rnacentral:rRNA from 1 species
UACGUAGGAGGCGAGCGUUGCCCGGAAUUACUGGGCGUAAAGAGCGUGUAGGCGGUCGCGUUUUGUCCGGGAUGAAAGCCCUCUGCUCAACGGAGGGAGGCUUCUGGAAACGGCGCGACUCGAUGGAGUCUGGCAGGGGGGGUGCGGAAUGGCCGGUGGAGCGGUGAAAUGCGUAGAGAUCGGUCAGAACACCAGUGGCGAAGGCGGCACCCUGGGCCAGGACUGACGCUGAGACGCGAAAGCGUGGGGAGCGAACGGA